UACGUAGGGGGCGAGCGUUGUCCGGAAUUAUUGGGCGUAAAGAGCGUGUAGGCGGUUCGGUAAGUCUGCCGGGAAAACCUGGGGCUCAACCCCGGGCGUGCGGUGGAUACUGCCGGGCUAGAGGGUGGUAGAGGCGAGUGGAAUUCCCGGUGUAGCGGUGAAAUGCGCAGAUAUCGGGAGGAACACCAGUAGCGAAGGCGGCUCGCUGGGCCAUUCCUGACGCUGAGACGCGAAAGCUAGGGGAGCGAACAGG
rnacentral:rRNA from 1 species